rnacentral:rRNA from 1 species
GACGAACGCUGGCGGCGUGCCUAAUACAUGCAAGUCGAGCGAAGUAGAGAGAGCUUGCUCUCGAAGCUUAGCGGCGAACGGGUGAGUAACACGUGGGCAACCUGCCCGAUAGACCGGAAUAACUUGGGGAAACUCAAGCUAAUACCGGAUAGGAUCAUUGACCGCCUGGUUGGUGAUGGAAAGGCUGAACGACACUAUCGGAUGGGCCCGCGGCGCAUUAGCUAGUUGGUGGGGUAACGGCCUACCAAGGCGACGAUGCGUAGCCGACCUGAGAGGGUGACCGGCCACACUGGGACUGAGACACGGCCCAGACUCCUACGGGAGGCAGCAGUAGGGAAUCUUCCACAAUGGGCGAAAGCCUGAUGGAGCAACGCCGCGUGAGUGAUGAAGGUUUUCGGAUCGUAAAACUCUGUUGUUAGGGAAGAACACCCGGGAGAGGAUCCCGGAUUGACGGUACCUGACGAGAAAGCCCCGGCUAACUACGUGCCAGCCGCCGCAGUAAGAC